ACAAGCGGUGGAGCAUGUGGUUUAAGUUCGAAGCAACGCGCAGAACCUUACCAGCCCUUGACAUACCGGUCGCGGACACAGAGAUGUGUCUUUCAGUUCGGCUGGACCGGAUACAGGUGCUGCAUGGCUGUCGUCAGCUCGUGUCGUGAGAUGUUGGGUUAAGUCCCGCAACGAGCGCAACCCUCGCCCUUAGUUGCCAGCAUUUAGUUGGGCACUCUAAGGGGACUGCCGGUGAUAAGCCGAGAGGAAGGUGGGGAUGACGUCAAGUCCUCAUGGCCCUUACGGGCUGGGCUACACACGUGCUACAAUGGUGAUGACAGUGGGCAGCGAGCACGCGAGUGUGAGCUAAUCUCCAAAAGCCAUCUCAGUUCGGAUUGCACUCUGCAACUCGAGUGCAUGAAGUUGGAAUCGCUAGUAAUCGCGGAUCAGCAUGUCGCGGUGAAUACGUUCCCGGGCCUU
rnacentral:rRNA from 1 species